rnacentral:tRNA from 1 species
GGCCCGUCCCCGGCGGCGGACGCCGUGCCGCCCUGGCGCGUCGGCCGCGACAGCGGGCCGAGUCGUCGGUUCCGGCCCGGUGGCGGCCCG